GGAGUGAGGCAAUCAGCAAGUGAGAUUCACAACGAAGACAUGGGAAGGAAGAAAGCACGUCUUCACUACUGCUUCUGCAUAUGUGGGUCCCACAGAGUCCUUGGUCAUUGAUGAAGAUAUUGAACAGCACUGGGCCAAGUA